rnacentral:rRNA from 1 species
UACGGAGGUGGCAGGCGUUACUCGGAUUGAUUGGGUGUAAAGGGUGUGUAGGUGGCGUACUAAGUCGAAUGUGAAAGCCCGUGGCUCAACCACGGAAUUGCAUUCGAAACUGGUAUGCUUGAGCGACUGAGAGGUAGAUGGAAUUCCCGGUGUAACAGUGAAAUGUGUAGAUAUCGGGAGGAACACCAGUGGCGAAGGCGAUCUACUGGCAGUCUGCUGACACUGAAACACGAGAGCUAGGGGAGCAAACAGG